rnacentral:rRNA from 1 species
CGUGUAGGCUGCUUCAAAAGUCGGGUGUGAAAGCCCUGGGCUCAACCUAGGAAGUGCACUCGAAACUGCGGAGCUUGAGUCCUGGAGAGGAAGGCGGAAUUCUCGGUGUAGAGGUGAAAUUCGUAGAUAUCGAGAGGAACACCGGUGGCGAAGGCGGCCUUCUGGACAGUGACUGACGCUGAGACGCGAAAGCGUGGGGAGCAAACAGGAUUAGAUACCCUGGUAGUCCACGCCGUAAACGAUGGGUGCUAGGUGUCGCGGGCUUUGACCCCUGCGGUGCCGUAGCUAACGCAUUAAGCACCCCGCCUGGGGAGUACGGCCGCAAGGCUAAA